CAUCACAAUAAAUCCAAAAAAUAAAGUGAGUCAAAUGAAUUUUUUGGUUUCCCAUUGCAUAUAAAAGUUAUGUUUACACUAUACUAAAGUCUAUUAAGUGUGCUAUACCAUUAUGUCUGGGAAAAAAAUGCACCAUACCUAAUUAAAAAAUACUUGACUG